rnacentral:lncRNA from 1 species
GAAGAAAAGAAGAACUUUGGCAUUUGCUUCUCAAAAACCCUGCCACAAGCAGCAUGCCAAAACAACAAAGAACCUUUGGAAAUUACCUGCCAUGAAAAAACCAGUAGCAUGCUCAAACCUCCACCACCUUGCCACUUGCAUUUUCUGUCAAAAGCUGUUCAGACUCAUAAUGAAAAAACCUGCCUUGCCAUAAAACACUCCUCUCCAACUCACCCUGCUAUUGGCAUUGCCUUGGUCCUGUCCAAAAACACCAGCAUAACAUCC